rnacentral:lncRNA from 1 species
UUGAACUGAAUUUUAAUGUGCGUAUUGUUAUGCGUUUACUUUUCUACAUUGGUUAGAGGUAUAGGGGGAGGGUUGAGAUCUCACAAACAUGUUUAACCCCGCCGCAUUUUUGCGCCUGUCCCAAGUCAGGAGCCUCUGGCCUUUGUUAGUCUUGUAUUAUUUUAAUUUUAGUUUUUUGUGUACAAUUUGGAAAUUAGUAUGGCGUUCAUUAUCACUGAACUAGUAUAUAUAUUUGUUUAGGGGCCAGCUGAAGGACGCCUCCGGGUGCGGGAAUUUCUCGCUACAUUGAAGACCUGUUGGUGACCUUCUGCUGUUGUUUUUUAUUUGGUCGGGUUGUUGUCUCUUUGACACAUUCCCCAUUUCCAUUCUCAAUUUUAU